rnacentral:rRNA from 1 species
GACGAACGCUGGCGGCGUGCUUAACACAUGCAAGUCGAACGGAAAGGCCUGUACUUGUACAGGUACUCGAGUGGCGAACGGGUGAGUAACACGUGGGUAACCUGCCCAAGAGACUGGGAUAACACCUGGAAACAGAUGCUAAUACCGGAUAACAACACUAGACGCAUGUCUAGAGUUUGAAAGAUGGUUCUGCUAUCACUCUUGGAUGGACCUGCGGUGCAUCAGCUAGUUGGUAAGGUAACGGCUUACCAAGGCAAUGAUGCAUAGCCGAGUUGAGAGACUGAUCGGCCACAUUGGGACUGAGACACGGGCCCAAACUCCUACGGGAGGCAGCAGUAGGGAAUCUUCGGCAAUGGACGAAAGUCUGACCGAGCAACGCCGCGUGAGUGAAGAAGGUUUUCGGAUCGUAAACUCUGUUGUUGGAGAAGAACAAGGGUGAGAGUAAC